UGGGGAAUUUUGGACAAUGGGCGCAAGCCUGAUCCAGCCAUGCCGCGUGCGGGAAGAAGGCCUUCGGGUUGUAAACCGCUUUUGUCAGGGAAGAAAUCUUCUGAGUUAAUACCUCGGGAGGAUGACGGUACCUGAAGAAUAAGCACCGGCUAACUACGUGCCAGCAGCCGCGGUAAUACGUAGGGUGCAAGCGUUAAUCGGAAUUACUGGGCGUAAAGCGUGCGCAGGCGGUUUUGUAAGACAGAGGUGAAAUCCCCGGGCUCAACCUGGGAACUGCCUUUGUGACUGCAAGGCUUGAGUGCGGCAGAGGGGGAUGGAAUUCCGCGUGUAGCAGUGAAAUGCGUAGAUAUGCGGAGGAACACCGAUGGCGAGCAAUCCGGUGGGCCGAACUGACGCUCAUGCACGAAAGCGUGGGGAGC
rnacentral:rRNA from 1 species